UUAGGAUAAGAAAAUUUAAAUAAUUAAUUAAUUAAUUGGACUAGUGUACAUAAAAAGUAGCCGAUAAUAGUUUUUAACUAUCGUUUUUCUAUUUACAGAGAUUCGACCACCAUCAUUUUAUAUCACAUUUUAUCGUAACAUUAAUCUUUAUGGUUACGAUAGAUGCUGACAUCAUAGAUCUCAUGGUAUGUUUCUAAAAAGGACAUUUUAUUCUUGUGGAAGAAUAUCAAAGUAAACUCAAGACCUAUGUUAUACCAUUACCAUGAAACAUUUUUCCAACAUCGUACAUAUUCCCUCGAGAGAAAGAAAAAAAGAACGCAGGUAUAUUGCUUGAACUCUUAACGCUUUUCUUUCAAGGUAAGAAAGAAGACAACAAAAUGAAAAAAUGCAACGAAGAGAGAAAGGAGGAAGUAUCUCAAAAAAAAGGUAAAGGUAAAAAAAAAAAGAAGAAGAAGUGUAAAUUAUGUUUUUUUUAUGUUCCUUCUCAUUAAAAAUGACUUCAUAUAAGGUACACGAUUUAUCGGGUCACAACAUGGAAGUAUCGUUUAAAUUGAAAUGAACAGUUCUCCUUUAAAAAAAAAAAAAACGUAGGUGUCCAAACGAACCAAAAAAAAAAAAAAAUUGAAAGAAAAAAAAAGAAAAAGAAAAUGAAAUUCAUUAAUUAAUCCUCGACUUUGUGGUACAACUGAACGAUAUUUUAUAUUACAUGAUAAAUGGAGAACACGAAAGUUAUUAAAAAUAUUAACUUUACCGAGUGUACUAUUUUGUGUAGGAGUUUUGAUCAAAAUCCAUUGAAUGUUGCAAAUUCGAAUAGAUAACAUUUAUUCAAUCUCUAUCGUCAACAUAUACGUAAACAUUUUCAUGAUAGUUUAAAGUAUCGUUUUAAAUUAUUACCAUGCAUUUUAAUUCA